GAGUUUGAUCUUGGCUCAGAUUGAACGCUGGCGGCAUGCCUUACACAUGCAAGUCGAACGGCAGCACGGGAGCUUGCUCCUGGUGGCGAGUGGCGAACGGGUGAGUAAUGCAUCGGAACGUAUCCUGGAGUGGGGGAUAACGUAGCGAAAGUUACGCUAAUACCGCAUAUUCUGUGAGCAGGAAAGCGGGGGACCUUCGGGCCUCGCGCUCUUGGAGCGGCCGAUGUCGGAUUAGCUAGUUGGUGAGGUAAAGGCUCACCAAGGCGACGAUCCGUAGCAGGUCUGAGAGGAUGAUCUGCCACACUGGAACUGAGACACGGUCCAGACUCCUACGGGAGGCAGCAGU
rnacentral:rRNA from 2 species